rnacentral:rRNA from 1 species
UCAUGGCUCAGGAUGAACGCUGGCGGCGUGCCUAAUACAUGCAAGUCGAACGCUUUGUCUUUAAUUGAUCUGACGAGCUUGCUCUGAUGUGAUUUUAUCUGACAAAGAGUGGCGAACGGGUGAGUAACACGUGGGUAACCUACCUCUUAGCAGGGGAUAACAUUUGGAAACAAGUGCUAAUACCGUAUAAUACCAACAACCGCAUGGUUGUUGGUUGAAAGAUGGUUCUGCUAUCACUAAGAGAUGGACCCGCGGUGCAUUAGCUAGUUGGUAAGGUAACGGCUUACCAAGGCAAUGAUGCAUAGCCGAGUUGAGAGACUGAUCGGCCACAAUGGGACUGAGACACGGCCCAUACUCCUACGGGAGGCAGCAGUAGGGAAUCUUCCACAAUGGGCGCAAGCCUGAUGGAGCAACGCCGCGUGUGUGAUGAAGGGUUUCGGCUCGUAAAACACUGUUAUAAGAGAAGAACGGCACUGAGAGUAACUGUUCAGUGUGUGACGGUAUCUUACCAGAAAGGAACGGCUAAAUACGUGCCAGCAGCCGCGGUAAUACGUAUGUUCCAAGCGUUAUCCGGAUUUAUUGGGCGUAAAGCGAGCGCAGACGGUUAUUUAAGUCUGAAGUGAAAGCCCUCAGCUCAACUGAGGAAUGGCUUUGGAAACUGGAUGACUUGAGUGCAGUAGAGGAAAGUGGAACUCCAUGUGUAGCGGUGAAAUGCGUAGAUAUAUGGAAGAACACCAGUGGCGAAGGCGGCUUUCUGGACUGUAACUGACGUUGAG